GGAUUGUGGCUCAGAGGUAGAGUGCUUGCCUAGUAUGCUUGAGGCACUGGGUCCGAUCCUUAGCACCA
rnacentral:tRNA from 1 species